ACCCCCUGUAACACCCUAAAUUUUGCUUCUUUGAAAAUAGAGCUAAAAUAAUUUAUUUUGUAUUUCUGUGCUCAUGAAAAUAUAGUAAAAUGAAAAUUUUCCUUAAAUUAAAAAUUAUCAUAGGACUUAGCAACUUGUUGUGCAUACAUGCUUUUGCAUUAAUUUUUGUUGACAUGAGGGGUUUGACUAAGGUUCAAAAGUAUUUCAAAGUGAUUUUUUAAAUGUUUUGGAAAAUGGUUUCAAAAUAAAAGAAAGGAAAAUAGAAAAAAAUAUAAAAACAGAAAUUCUCCCUCUCUCCCUCGCGGCCUCGGCCCAGCUCCUCUUUCCCCCUCCUUCUCUCUUGGGCCGGAGCCCGUUCUCCUCCCCACGCGCCCUCUCCCCUCGGCCCAUCUACCGGCCUGCUUGACCAGGCAGCCCAGCGCGCCUCCUCUCUCUCCUGUAGCUCACAUUUGGGACCCACUUGACAGGGACACCCUCAUCUUCUACCUCGCGUCGUGGCAGAACCGGCCUCUGUCUAGGGAAGCCGCACCUUCCAAUCCUGUUUCCCACGACAUUUGUUGCCUAAGAGCAACAUCAAACCCCUAUAAAAGCUUUGCUGAUCGCCUGCGACUCCUUCUUCCUCCUAUUACACGCCUAGAAGCCGUCUGCCCUAUCUCGGCCUCGAAUCGGAUCUCACUGAGGAGCAUCACCCGCCCGCUGCCGUGGCCUUGGUACUCAACCGCGUUCUAGGCACCAAAGACCGUGUGCCGCAUUUCGGAUCGAGGUUAUGAAGGUGUCUAGCCCCUCUACUUACUCUCUAUUGCA
rnacentral:lncRNA from 1 species